AUUGAACGCUGGCGGCAGGCCUAACACAUGCAAGUCGAGCGGUAACAGGGGUAGCUUGCUACCCGCUGACGAGCGGCGGACGGGUGAGUAAUGCAUAGGAAUCUGCCCGGUAGUGGGGGAUAACCUGGGGAAACCCAGGCUAAUACCGCAUACGUCCUACGGGAGAAAGGGGGCUCCGGCUCCCGCUAUUGGAUGAGCCUAUGUCGGAUUAGCUAGUUGGUGAGGUAAAGGCUCACCAAGGCAACGAUCCGUAGCUGGUCUGAGAGGAUGAUCAGCCACAUCGGGACUGAGACACGGCCCGAACUCCUACGGGAGGCAGCAGUGGGGAAUAUUGGACAAUGGGGGCAACCCUGAUCCAGCCAUGCCGCGUGUGUGAAGAAGGCCCUCGGGUUGUAAAGCACUUUCAGCGAGGAAGAACGCCUAGUGGUUAAUACCCAUUAGGAAAGACAUCACUCGCAGAAGAAGCACCGGCUAACUCCGUGCCAGCAGCCGCGGUAAUACGGAGGGUGCAAGCGUUAAUCGGAAUUACUGGGCGUAAAGCGCGCGUAGGUGGCUUGAUAAGCCGGUUGUGAAAGCCCCGGGCUCAACCUGGGAACGGCAUCCGGAACUGUCAGGCUAGAGUGCAGGAGAGGAAGGUAGAAUUCCCGGUGUAGCGGUGAAAUGCGUAGAGAUCGGGAGGAAUACCAGUGGCGAAGGCGGCCUUCUGGACUGACACUGACACUGAGGUGCGAAAGCGUGGGUAGCAAACAGGAUUAGAUACCCUGGUAGUCCACGCCGUAAACGAUGUCGACCAGCCGUUGGGUGCCUAGAGCACUUUGUGGCGAAGUUAACGCGAUAAGUCGACCGCCUGGGGAGUACGGCCGCAAGGUUAAAACUCAAAUGAAUUGACGGGGGCCCGCACAAGCGGUGGAGCAUGUGGUUUAAUUCGAUGCAACGCGAAGAACCUUACCUACCCUUGACAUCUACAGAAGCCGGAAGAGAUUCUGGUGUGCCUUCGGGAACUGUAAGACAGGUGCUGCAUGGCUGUCGUCAGCUCGUGUUGUGAAAUGUUGGGUUAAGUCCCGUAACGAGCGCAACCCUUGUCCUUAUUUGCCAGC
rnacentral:rRNA from 2 species